GUGGUUUAUGGGCGGUCGAUUCGAAUUUCUGUUUUUUAAUUAUAUAAUCGUUUUUAUUCGUGCCAUUUGGCUCUGUCAACUGGACUACAGUGGUAGACUGCUAGUUCGGUCAUUCUUGUACAAUGGGCAACAGUAACAGCUCGGUCACCCGCUCACCUCCUGGGCUAUGUGCAUGGACAGUAGUGGUAGCUCAGUCACUCGUUCCCUAACGGGCUUUGUACGCUUUGCAGUAGUGACAGCUCGGUCACCCGCUCACCUCCUGGGUUGGGUGCACGGACAUUUUUCUACAUUCAUUUUGGCCAAGGUCAAAAAGAGGAAGGAAUAAAUAAAGGAAGGAAUGUUUUUUGGUCAAAAAGAGGAAGGAAUAAAUGAAGGAAGGAAAUUCAGUGGUCAAAAAGAGGAAGGAAUAAAUAAAGGAAGGAAUGUUUUUUGGUCAAAAAGAGGAAGGAAUAAAUGAAGGAAGGAAAUUCAGUGGUCAAAAAGAGGAAGGAAUAAUUAAAGGAAGGAAUAUUUUUUGGUCAAAAAGAGGAAGGAAAUUUCGGUGGUCAAAAAAGGAUGGUCAGAAAAAGGAAGCAAAUUUGUGUGCGGUGAAAAAAUAGGAAGCAGAAAACGCACAGAGUUUUUUUAAAUGUUCUUAUGUGGCAGCGACGAUCAUCGUAUGUAGGCUGCCGGUUUACUGCAUUUUGUAGAAAUACAGUACCACUGGGCAAGGCAGUCCGACUGGGCAGCCCACAUUCAAAAAAUUAAAUCCGGCUCGACAUUACCAUUCCUCAUUUACAAUGUAAAUCACACACAACAUAGAAAACGCCUGCACCGUUUUGGCGGGUAAAUGAUUUGAUAGUCUCCGAGUCUGCGUUCAUGUAAUGAUACGUGACUUAUCAGUAGAAGUAAGGCGUCUGCUUUUUCUACAUACUGCAAUGAAAUCUCAGUGGUAGAGUGGGUAUUACUGGUUAAGAAAGUUUGCCAUGUUGGCCAGGGUUAUUCUUCCUUCACUCAUCUUACCGAAGUGCAGCAUAAUGGCUUAGUCUUGCGUACCUGUAGCGAACUCGUGGAUCGUGCGUGGAUUUACGGAAAUACUCGCAAAAAAACCGAUAAUUCAUUUGACGCAGAUGCAAAUACUAAUUAGUACCCACUAUGGAAUCUUCUAAGAUUGUUGCUCCCGAUGAUGACGUUGAGUACAUAGGAACAUAUCCUUACGAUUAUAAUAAAGGGACACCGGCACCAACGUUGAGCGAAGCUAACAGACUUAAUUCAUGGCGUUCCUGAGUGUAAUUAAGUGAAUUCAAUUUUGAUCCGCGGCCUUCUUCUGUCCACCUAUCUUGGAGAUCAGCGCUAAAGAAAGGAAUGGAAAAAGCAUUUCAGUACUUGGGAGCCCUAGUACAUAUAAUUAGGUUGCGCAUGCUGCGGGACCAAUAUGUGCUGUGCUGAGAAAGGCGCAAAUUACUGUCCAGACAACAUCUGCCUAACAGCAACAACGAAGUUCGAGGGACGCCAAUUCUGAAAAUAAUCUACUGCAUACGUAAGAUCCAUUUUCCGUUUUGUAAAUAAGUACAUGCGACCAGGUGCAAAAUAAUGCCGCCCGAUCUGGCUGAUAUUCCAAGAAAUGCCGAACCCCAACGGGACAAUCUUUUGAACGCCGACGGCCGCUCUGAAGCAAUUCUGCUACCCUCCGGUCAAGCCUUCUCGACGUCGGGCCCCCAAAAUUACCCGAGCGUGUUAGAGAAAACAACUACCGAUCUCCAUGCAUGGGAUAUUUACAACCUCACCCCGGCAGAACGACAGGAAAUACUGCAUUUAUACGACAAUGGCUUCACUCUCUCCUAUAUUCUGCAGAAGACGAAUCUGUCCCUCUACCAUCUCAAACGAUUACUGUGCGCAGCUGGACGGACGGGAAAAUUUCGAAAAGGGAGAAGAAAGAGGGUGGAUAAGAUAAUCCAAGAUGCCGGUUUAACUUUGGAUGCACCUCCACCGAGAACAUUCCUACUGGAUUCUGCAAGCCAAAACGAUAAUAUCAAGAAACGAAAUAAAUGGUCGCGUCGCAGAAAAUGGAGGGAUCCAUGGAUCGGACGCCCGGCUGUUGAAGCCGCAGGAGGUGCGAGUAGGCCCAGUUCCAGGGAAGGAUCACGCACUGCUGGGGAUAUUAUCAGCGAUGUGCCGGAUGGCGAGGAAACGGGGCGUUAUACGGCUGAAACCGGAACUGCAAAAGACCGGAGUGUUUUCACGUUUGGCGGGAUGAUCAUGCGGUGUACAAGCCCGUCCGGAUGAUGAGCACGUAAAGCGCCCAAAAAUCAUAUAAAAAUUCCGGAAGCCGACGGCAAAAUUGACAUUGAAUUCCAAGAUUCCCCUGUUCAAAAUGAACAACAUCAACCAAUCACUGAAGGCAGAAGCCGGGACCGCAUUUGGCCGGAAGAAUCCGUGUUCAACGCUUCGGAACCACUUUUGCAUCCGUUAAGAAAUCCGUCCAUAAGCGGCCACAGUGCAAGAUAUCAGUUCCAAUUUUGCCGCCUCUCCUGGGAUGAAGAGGAAGCAUUCUUGUUGCAUCCGACUGAAAAAGACCAUGAACAACUGUCUGCCACCGGUAAUUUUCUAUAUUGUACAGGAUGUAAAUUUAAAACCCGCAAACCGGCAAAAAUGGGUCAACAUGUUAUUAACUACCAAUCGCAAGGGACCUUGCGAGACGGUAACAUGCAUUCGGUUAAAUUUAUCCCUUGACAUACUUGUGUUAAAUUAAAUACCGCUUAACUGUUUCGAGUGUGAACGUUUGUUAACCUAUACGGUGCAUUUUUCUGGGCUUGCGAGGCGGUGCGACUUACAUGACCCCAUGAACGGUGUUAAUGUUGUUUUUUAAUUUUAUGUUCGAAAUUAAUCUGCAGCUGUAGUAUGCAUUUUGCUCGUCCCUUUUUGUUGAUAUGAAA